GUCCACGCCGUAAACGAUGAGUGCUAGGUGUCACGGGCUUUGACCCUAGUGGUGCCGUAGCUAACGCAAUAAGCACUCCGCCUGGGGAGUACGGCCGCAAGGCUAAAACUCAAAGGAAUUGACGGGGGCCCGCACAAGCGGUGGAGCAUGUGGUUUAAUUCGACGCGACGCGCAGAACCUUACCUGGGCUAGAAAACACAGGAACCCGGGUGAAAACUCGGGGUGCUCUUCGGAGAAUCUGUGGUUAGGUGUUGCAUGGCUGUCGU
rnacentral:rRNA from 1 species